rnacentral:rRNA from 1 species
CCUAGGGAGGCAGCAGUGGGGGAUAUUGCACAAUGGGGGGAACCCUGAUGCAGCGACGCCGCGUGAGCGAUGGAGUACUUCGGUAUGUAAAGCUCUGUCAGCAGGGAAGAAAAUGACGGUACCUGACCAAGAAGCCCCGGCUAAAUACGUGCCAGCAGCCGCGGUAAUACGUAUGGGGCAAGCGUUAUCCGGAUUUACUGGGUGUAAAGGGAGUGUAGGCGGGAAAGCAAGUCAGAAGUGAAAACUAUGGGCUUAACCCAUAGCCUGCUUUUGAAACUGUUUUUCUUGAGUGAAGUAGAGGCAAGCGGCAUUCCUAGUGUAGCGGUGAAAUGCGUAGAUAUUAGGAGGAACACCAGUGGCGAAGGCGGCUUGCUGGGCUUUUACUGACGCUGAGGCUCGAAAGCGUGGGGAGCAAACAGGAUUAGAUACCCCAGUAGUC